UACGUAGGGGGCGAGCGUUGUCCGGAGUUACUGGGCGUAAAGGGCGCGCAGGCGGUCUGGUAAGUUUGGAGUGACAGUGCUCGGCUUAACUGAGCGAGGCCUUCGAAAACUGUCAGACUUGAGCACUCAAGAGGGACAUAGAAUUCCGGGUGGAGUGGUGAAAUGCGUAGAUAUCCGGAGGAAUACCAAAGGCGAAGGCAGUGUCCUGGGGAGUGUCUGACGCUCAGGCGCGAAAGCUAGGGGAGCGAACAGG
rnacentral:rRNA from 1 species